GAAACUCUAUGUUUAGCCCUGUCAAUAUUUUCUUCUCCAAAAAGGCACUACGAAUGCUUAUUCUCUGAGAAAUAAGGAAGCAAGAAAUAAAGAAGCACGUUGUGUUAUUUCUUCAGUAAAUUGGAUAUGAAAGGCAGAAGUAUUAAUGAAAAACUGUAACAUUUCCCAUGGAAAAAAAAAAACAACUUUGAUCCAAGUAAAUUGAAUUACUUCAGCAUUUGCUGCAGUAACCUUACAAAUAGUUCUAUUUGUAUACUAAACUAGUUUUUUCCCUUAUGCCAGAUGCUGUUUGCGAGGGUUGGUGCCACUGCAAACCCUCAAGAUGCUGCAAGUCACAAAUGAUGCUUCUAGGGCCAGAGAAAUGAAAAGGAACCCCAAACCAUUAUCCCAAGGAUUGCCAAACCUAGAAUUACUGGAAGCAGCUGAAUGUUUGGACAGGCUGGAGCUUGGUUAAUGAGCAGCAUACAAGUGAGCUUACUGGCACGGAGAUCCACACUCCAAGGAGCAUUCAUGUCAAUGUCUGCUGCAGCUCUUCACAGCAGUCCUUCAUACUGAGGGCUUCUUGCAAGGCUGCAAAAGGUUUGUGAAAAGAAGCAUCCAGCCAAAUCCAUGUUCCCCUCAAAGCUUGGUUUUCCCUGUGAUGUGUCGUCAUCUCCUAUAUGAGACUCUCCUGGUUUCUGCAAGCAUUUAUUGUGUGAAGGAAUGGCCUGUUACAAAACCACUGUUCAUCCCUGUUGUCCCAACUCAAACUUUUUCCAACAUCAGUCCAUCUUCUUGGAAAGUGAGAAGGAACAGAACUACACUUGUCAGGCUAUGUGGGAAGUUAAGGCUGCAUGUGGGGCUCAGCGUUCCUCUGGCCUGCAAGCAGUUUAGGUACAAGCAAAGCAAAAGAGGGUAGUGGAGUCUGCAAAAGAUUUCUCUCUCAAGUCUUACCUGACUACCACCUUGGUGAGUACAGCUGAUAAACUGAGGAAGCAGUUACGGUCCUGAAAGAGAUGCAAAAGGUGACCCUGAUGAAUGUUUUCAAGAAAAGUUAAUUUUCUUACGAUCUCCCAUGUUUUAUAAUGCUGUUCAUUUUCAUAAAAACAGGAUAAGAAGAGUCACAUCUCUACUUCAUGACAUGAAAAAUCCUUCUCUUCAUCUGUACCAACAAAGAUCAGUGCCAGAGAGGUACUAGUAUGCUAACCAUUAGUAAAACCUUAUUUUUGUUACCCUGAAAUAUUUGUACACUGUCCAGAGGCCCCAUCCUGUACUACAUCCAGGCCUGGGGCCCCCAGCAGAAGAAAGCUGAAGAGUUGUUGGAGCAGGACCAGAGGAGGAACACGAAGAUGAUCAAGGAACCGGAGCACCUGUCCUACGAAGACAGACUGAGGAAACUGGACUUAGUUUGCUCAGUUUGGAUCAUCUCAUAAUCAUAGGAGUUUGAAGGAACCUCUGGAAAUCAUCUAGUCCAACCCCUCUGCUAAAGCAGGUUUUCUAGAGUAGGUUGCACAGAAAAGUGUCCAAGCAAGUUUUGAAUAUCUCCAGAGAAGGAGACUUCACCAGCUCUUUGGGCAGCUCGUUCCCGUGCUGUCACCCUCAAUAUAAAGUUUUUCUUCAAGUUCAGGUGAAUAUUCAGUUACAUUUUCUUGCCAUGUGGCAAAGAGCUGCAGAGGGGCAGUCUGACAAAAUGGCAUCUGAUGUAGAAGUGCAAAUGAAACAAAGGUGUGUCACUGAAUUCCUCCAUGCAGAAAAAAUGGCACCCAAUGACAUUCAUGUAAGCUUGCUGGAGACCAGCAUUGGAUGAGAGCACAGUGAGGCAGUGGGUGCUGUAUUUCAACAGUGGAGACUGCAACGGUGGGUCACCUCCACUGGUGUAGAUUUUGAGGAGAGCAGCAUGCAGGCUCUCGCUCAUUGCU
rnacentral:lncRNA from 1 species